rnacentral:lncRNA from 1 species
UUGUAAUCAGAUGAAAGUUAUUUCUCUAAGUCCUAUUCUGAACACCAUAUUCACUUAAAAAUAGCGUGUGUUCUUUGAUGCAUCAUCAAUGUAAAAGUAGUCAAGUAUUAAUAUAAAGAUUUAAUCUUAUAAAGUCAGUUGACAUUGUAACUGAUCACUGACAGUGUCUAAGUAAGGCUUGUUUCCCUGUUGCUGUGCUAUCAGUUGGAGAACCUGGUCCAAAGUUCUCCACGACCCUAUCACACUUGGCGGUGUACUUCAUGACACUUGGCGGUGUACUUCAUUCCACACUUGGCAGUGUACUUCAUGACCCAUUCCACACAACCAGCAGAAGGAAGUUAAAUUGCGUGUAAUCCGUUUCACUGGGUUGGAUAUGUAAGCAUCCUGAAAGACAUUGUUUCUUCUUCCUCUAGAACCAUGCAACACUCAUCCAAAGUCUUCUAAAGAAUUUUAGUCAGACCUUCAAAAUAUUUGAGAUUUUUGUAGCUAAUCCUCAUGCUUGGCUUCUUGAAAUACUAACAAAUAAUAUUGACAGAGUAUUAUUAUUUCUUAUUCAACACUGAGGUUUUCACGGAGAGCGAUGUUACAGAAGACUGGGUCUUUCCACCAGCUUACGUCAGGGGAACACGGUACAUUCUACUUACGCAACUUCUCCAGUAGAUUGAAAGCUCCUAGGAGGCAGGGGCUCCGUCUCUAUGGCUUUCAAGCCUUCAACAUUUGGCCUGAUUCAGAAUAUGCAGCCACCGCCCAAUACACACUUGAUGUUUUCACUGCCUCGGAGCACAUGGCCCCGAACAUUGCUAAUCCACAGCUCCCCAGUGCACAGACUGGGAGUGAGCAUUUCUGUCCCAAUUCCAAACUUCCGUGACAAUGACUCUGAUCUGCCCGGCUCAGGCCAAGGAGGGACACUCUUCACCUAGUAUUUUGUGUGAUAGCAGGGCUGGGGGGAAAGGCAUUACAAAACUGAUUUUACUCUUUCUAAGGAAAAAUGUAUGCUGCAUAUACUGUUAGCCAAAACCACGUUAUACGUUGGGCUCUACCCUCUGAGGUUUCCUUCCUUUAAGGGGGAGAGCAGUAGCAGACAGGCCUUCCCCAUCAAGCACAUCUCUCUGGGCACCCAGAACCUUCUUCUAACCUCUGCGUUAAGACCGGCCUCAAAAUACUGCAGCAUGAUCCGCUGCCUCCAGUGCCUUCUGCAAGCCCUUUCGUGAGUGAUGAAAUGGGAAGAACCUAAAGUGGAGUCAGUCAUCAGCAGCCGUUCAGGGGUGUAAAAGGAGCCGUCCAAAGUCACUGAGCUCUGACACGCGGGGAGACAGAGUUCCAUGACACCUGACCUCGCCACACAGCAUGACCACCCCGGGGAGGGCGCAGCUGGCGGAGGGGGGGGGACUGGUGGGGCUGUGGGAAAGCACCGGUGGGGAUGGGGGGAGCCCUCCUCCGUGCAGUCUGUUCCCCUCCGUACUGGGUUGGCACGCAGAUCGGAAAACGCACGUCUGAAUCUAUUUCCGGCUUCUAAAUGUGUGAAGGAGACACAUAACUUUAUUAUCUUAUUUUUGUCAAGUUAGAGACAGAUGCCCCUAGAGCUUAUGCUCUAGAAGAAGUUCCUGUUCUUCAGGGCUGCAUCUUUGGAAGCAAAAAUCAAAGACAAAUAGGACAUCUCCUCUAAGUUUUCCAGACAAAUAUUAGCAAUCAAAAGAAGAGAUAGAUGGGGCGCCUGGGUGGCUCAGUGGGUUAAGCCUCUGCCUUCGGCUCAGGUCAUGAUCCCAGGGUCCUGGGAUCGAGUCCCACAUCAGGCUGUGCUCAGUGGGGAGCCUGCUUCCCCAUCUCCCUCUGCCUGCCUCUCUG